AUACAGGGGGAUAACAGUUAGAAAUGACUGCUAAUACCGCAUAAGACCACGGUACCGCAUGGUACAGUGGUAAAAACUCCGGUGGUAUGAGAUGGACCCGCGUCUGAUUAGGUAGUUGGUGGGGUAACGGCCUACCAAGCCGACGAUCAGUAGCCGACCUGAGAGGGUGACCGGCCACAUUGGGACUGAGACACGGCCCAGACUCCUACGGGAGGCAGCAGUGGGGAAUAUUGCACAAUGGAGGAAACUCUGAUGC
rnacentral:rRNA from 1 species